AGAGGAUAGCUGGGUUAAAUGGUGGAUCCAUUCCCAGCUUUCCAAGGAAUCUCCAUACUGCUUUCCAUAUUGGUUGCUCCAUUUUGCAUUCCCACCAGCAAU
rnacentral:pre_miRNA from 1 species